AAUAUGCUUACUUCAGAGAAUAAAGUCAUUGAACCCCAAUACUUCGGCUUGGCAUACUUAUUCAGAAAAGUAAUAGAGGAGCAGUUGGAACCAGCAGUUGAAAAGAUAAGCAUCAUGGCAGAGAGAUUGGCCAAUCAGUUUGCAAUUUAUAAACCUGUCACUGAUUUUUUCCUUCAACUUGUGGAUGCAGGCAAGGUGGAUGAUGCCAGAGCUCUCCUACAGAGAUGUGGUGCAAUUGCUGAACAAACCCCGAUUUUGUUGUUGUUCCUCCUUAGGAAUUCUAGGAAACAAGGAAAGGUACUGUGCUUUACUUGCUUACAAAUCAGUGAUACUGUACGUGCCUUGCUCAGAAGUAUUGAAUUUAACAUAAAAGCCUGUUGUUUCAGGACCUUAUUUGAGAAUACUAUAGAGAUUCAAGACUUUGCUUGUCUCUACUUAGAGUGAGUUUUGUCGUCUGUUAGCUGUACUGGAAAUGUAAAACAAGUUCAUGCAGGAAUUUUCCACUUACACAGGUAUGCAUUGAGAGCCCCAAGAAAAGGCCCUUAAAAAAUGCAAGAUUAGGCUGGGCAUGGUGGCUCACACCUGUAAUCCCAGCACUUUGGGAGGCCGAGGUGGGUGGAUCACUUGAGGUCAGGAGUUUCAGAGUUUGAGACCAGCCUGGCCAGCAUGGCGAAACCUGGUCUUUACAAAAAAA
rnacentral:sRNA from 1 species